UAACAGGAGCGAGACUGUUCUUAUCCCCAUUUUACACAGGAGGAAGCUGAGGUAGGGAAAGGUAAGUCACUUGCCCGGGUCACCCUGAUCCUAACACGAGUUGGUCUGGAUGCCAGUCUCACUAUCAAGUCCUGCAUUUUGGUCCUGGUCGGGUCCUAGUCUUCCUAACUGCCCUGCGCUUGGUAGGGCACCUGGGACACAGUAGGAUUUCACUUAAAUUGUUAUUAUUUAAGCAAUACAUACUCAGUGAAGGCAAUGAGAAAAUGCUGACAGCACAAAAAAGUCCUCUCACCCAAAGAUAACUCUUACUAAUAGUUUAGCGUAUGUUCUUCCCUAAAUUUUUCAGUACAGUCGUGUGCCGCAUAACAUCGUUUCGGUCAAUGAUCCACCGUGUAUCUGAUGCUGGUGCCGUAUAGCUGAGGUGUGCGGUGGGCUAUUCCAUCUAGGUUUGUGUGAGGGAGCUGGUGGAUGGUGUCCUGUGGCAGAGGGAGGAGCAGGAGGGGGAUCCAGUCAAGACACAGUCUCCAGAAGUAGCCUGAGCCAAGGAGCUGCUUGCGUGGCUGAGGACCCUGAGGUGGUUCAUUUAUCUGAAGACUCCACAUGAAAGGCAGCCCCCUGUGUCCUGGAGAGCAGAGAAUCACACCCUGUGGAUGGGAUAAGAUGGAGCCCCCUGGGCUCAGGCGUGCUCUGUCCACUCUGCCACAGCCCGUCCUUAAGGGACAUCCCCACAUUCGAUGGCUUGCUGGGGGGGGGCAUCAAGAGAAGGGGGCUCAGACUGCCAGUGCCCAGACUCCAAGGGCCUCUACUCUCCUCCCUCUCACCCUGAAUCAGCCCCUAGCCCCUCCUGAGUGGAACCCCGUCUUCCCAGCCUGGACCAUUAGAGCACAAAUUCCCCUUCCCAAGACGUGCAUCCUGGAGAAGGGAGAGUCCCCUGGUGUGGACUUUGUCUCCCUUAGGAUGUCAGUCUCUCCCAGCCUCCUGGGCUUGGCCUCUACUUGGGGGAAUCUGGGUCUCAGAAGCUGUACCUCAGGCCCCUCCUAGCUGGCAAUGUGUAUGUCACACCCACAUCCUGCCUCACCAAGCUGUGUACACAUAUAGUGCACACAAUCCAGGCACUGAGCCUUGUUUGGGGUGAAGGUUUGUCCUGCACAGGGAGGCAGGGUGUAUGGUGAGGAGAGAAGGAAUGCGUGAAAUGUAUGUAGAAGAGGGAGAAAUGAGGUCCUCUGGGGACACUGGGAGAGGUGUGGGCAUCACUGAGGGCCCUUGUAGUCUGUGGUUGUGAUGUGAAGGUGGGACCAGCCCUCACUGCACCAGCCUCUGCCCCUUUCCUGGCUGGGGGCAGAUGCAGAGGAGGCAGAGAGUUGGGCUCCCAGGGUGGAUUUCACCUGGCCAGGACCAUGGAAGGAGUCGGUCAGAGCUACAGGACAGGAGCGUGGGGCUGUCCCGGAGCUCAGUGUCUGCAGAGGAAGAAAGGACGUGAUGUAGGGGAAAGAAAGUGAACAUGGAGCAAAGUUUGCAGAUGGGGAGACCCAGUGGGCUGAGGAUGAGUGAGGAGAGGGAACCCACAGUGACUGGGCUGGAAAGACACCACUGGGUGCCGACUGGAAGGGGUUGGCCUGAAAUGGGUUAUCAGUCAUGCUGGAGAGGUUUAUAUGUGUAGAGUGAGGCCAGGGUAGUGGGUGGCAGGGGUUGAGUGAAGGAAGGAGGACAGGGCCCUGAGGGUCCAGGAUGUUAGAAGGAUCAUCUGGGUGGAUGGCAGAGUGACCAAGAAGGGUCAAGUCGCAGUGAUGGUGAAGAGACUGACAGUGAAGACUUAUACAGACACCCGAAUGCACACACACAUGAACACACACACACACGGACCCUGAUCAGCGCAUAGGGUGCAGUUUGGCCCAAUGGCUGAGCACAGCUGCCAGAGGUGCCAGCCCUUGUGGGCAGCCCCUUCUCUGUGGCCAUGCCACUGUCCCUAAGGUGCCUCCUGCUCUGUGGAGAGCCCCACUCAAGAGCUUCAUCAUCUUCAUGCCCUGAUUAUUCAUCUUGUCCCUGAAGCACUCGAUACCAUGGUCUCUCUCUAGGAUGAACCAGACGUUGACGGUGGGUUGCCACCCUGGAGGUGACAUGGGUUAGAGCCAUGUUGGACUCCUUGUGGUCUGUGGGGUUGGGGAAGGUCCUAAUGCCUGAAGGAGGAAGAGCAGAUGUGGGGGAAGCCCCAAUGCAGGGAGUUGUGUGGCCAGGAGGGAUGCAGGCCCAGAUCCCCAGCAGUGCAGAGUGGAGAUGGCUGGUGGCCGGCAGGGAGGCUGUCCAACCUGCGUCUCUUUGCUGGCCUCAGGAUCGCUGUCAUCAGCCAAGGCUGCCAGAGGCUUGUUUUCACGAGUUCUCUCAAAUGCUGCAGGAGCUUAGGAGCAGGUGACCUGAACUUGAGACUCCCUGACCUGGUCUCUGAAUGAAAUAAGAGGAGAUGACAGGCUCUGUACCAGCAACUUUUGUGUCCCCUGAGGGUGGGGAUCCUGUGGGGCCGGGGAAGCACAAUUGUCCUGUCCCUGGGCACAAGGCCAGCUGCAGCAAGACAGGUUCACAGGUGGAGGGGUGAUCACGGAAGGGCGUGCCCGGGCUUUGGAAAACUGGAGAAAGUUGGUCCUUGGAUGGGGUGUGGAAAGAACAUGAGCUAUGGGUGGGGAGGAGCCAGGAUGAUUGACAGCUCUGGGCAGUGGAGGAAAAACUGUCUCCCCAAGUAGAGAUUGGAGGUUUCCACAGUACAGUAGGAGCUGAGUCUGUCACAUGGUGGUUCACCCAGAUUCACAGACUGGGUGGUCACCUGGCACAUUCCAGCAAAAGUGCUCCCCCCUGGAAGCCAAGGCCAUCCAUGCAGCUGAGCCAGUGGCCACUACCAGAUUUUGAAUUUUGAGGCAAUGAUUCCACAAAGGGCAUUAAACAGUUUGCAUCCACUUGCCUUCCUAGAAAACAGGAGCUGCCUUUGAGACCUGUUCUGGCAUUGGAAGCAUCCCAAGGUUUCCAGGGGGUGAAUACUGACUUGUCAACCAAAGGGCACGCUCCUCAUUCUCUCAGUGCCGAUCCUGCCUCUUCCAACCCAGGGAUGUGCCACCGUUUUAUCCAUUAAGCCCAGCCCCUGCCUUGUCAGUCCCACCCCAAUAGACCAAGGACACUGAACUGGGGUUCUGCAGCAUCUUGGCUGAAAAAAAAAAAGAAAGGAUAGUUUCAAUCCCAUAGCCCCUGUCAUCACCUCUCAUCACACUCUACUGCCAUGAUCUCCUGAAGCAUGUGAACCUCCGUGACCUCCCUCACUAAUGUCCCCAGGCAUUGCUGAUGUGACCGCAUAGCAUGGAUGGUCAGGAGACUGUCCAGUGAAUCUUGCAAACUCCUCCUCCCCCAACCUCAGCCAGGAGAUCACUCCUGGGUGAAGCCCUUACAUCUCAAGCACAGUGAGGCUGUGGGUUGCAGGCUUCAGGACUGGCAUUCCUCUUGGGUAAAGCUUGCCCAUCUGCCACUCAAGAAGACUUUGAAAGUUUGAGUGGGGACCUCAUCUUAUUUACCUUGUCUCCAGUGCCCAGGAUGGUGUAAACAACACCCAGCACAUGUGGUAGGCUGAAUGGAAUGAGCUAAUGGAACAGUCAAUGCCCUGACUAGCCCCACUUCCCCCUGAGGAACAGAGCAUUUUGCCUCUCACUAAGUGACUUUCACAAUUGCCCCAUAAGGCCUAGUCUAAGGACGCAUAAUUCUUGUCUUGCUGACAGUUCCCAACAGGAUCCUAGAGAGGCUGUUGGUGUGCUAUAGAGAAUACCCCAAACCUCUUCCUUGCCCAUCUGGCUUACAGAGUUGAGCUGCCAGGUGAGUCCACCAGGGGCCCCACUGGGUACAAGAGGGUGACAAUGGCUGCCUCUGGCCCAUUUGCCCACCUGUCUUGUAGACAAGAUGCCUCUGUUCUUUGUCUCAGCAGAAGCCAGUCCAGAGCUCGCACUCUGGGCUCAGAGAUCCCCAGUGCCUAUCCGUCUAUUCACCUUCCAGCUCAUGUGAGAACUGUGAAGCCUCCACUUCCUCAAAUACCCACAGCACUGGGCUUUUGCAGGUUGUGAAUGAGAGAAGGCAAGUAAAGCAUUAUCCAGGGAACCACACUGUAAUUAGUUCUUAGUACAUGGUGGUGACUCUCCCUUAUUUUCAUUAACACCACCACCAUCUUUAUCGUGUGAAGUGUCCUAGAAACACCAGCACAUUAAUAAUUAGAAGACAUAGGACCUAUAUGGCAGGCCACUGCCUGGCUCCAAUGUGCAGGUAGGAGAUGAGGCCUGUUUCCAGUACCCCAGGAUUGGUAUUGGGGAGCUCAGGGGUGGGACGAGAGGGAGGGACACCCCCAUGUUGUGCGUUCUGAAUUCCAAAAACCUUGAAGUUCAUUCUGAAGCCGAAGGGUGGCAGGGAUGGCAUGACUUUACUCUGGUGAUAUCAAUGGUUCCUGCUCAGCACUUUCUAUACUAUUUUCCUGAAAGCUUGGGAAAAAAGAUGUUGGUAAUAAGGGCUUUAUGGAGAAAAAUGAAACAAGAUUGAAGGGACUGAGCCCAGAUGUCUUUAAAAUGACUAAUAUCAGAGCAGAUGUCCAUAGCUCAGGAAAAUGGGCUGUGAAGUCAGGUGAAACAAGGAAAGAGAUCAUAUGGUUGAUGGAGAUACGAGAGGCAAAUAGCAAGUUGUCCCUCCACUUGGGUCUGCCGUCCCAUCGUGUCAGCUGAGGAAGCUGACACCGGUGGGAAAUGUCCGAUGAGAUUUCCACAGAAGCUGCCAAGGCCCUAAUAUCCUGAAGGGGAGGGGCUGUUGAUGAGCUCAUUGAGAGGAGAACUGUGAAAGGGCCACAACCUUGUCAGAAUUGGACAUCUCCCCAAUCCAGAGUAAGGAAGGGACGAGAAAGGAAGAGCAGUAGAUGGAGCAGAUGUGCAUAGAGCUCACAGUGAUGCUCAAUUGGAUUAGACUCACUUACCUUAGAAGUGUCCAAGUGUGCCUUGGCAAUCGUUGCCUCAUAGGUAUUCAUUCAUCCAUCCAUCUAGCCAUCCAUCCAUCCAUCCAUCCACCAUCCAUCGUGCACACAUCCACAAGCCAUCCAUCCACCAUUUAUUCAUCCAUUCAUCUCUCCCUCAUCUAUUCAUCCAUUCAUUCACCAUCCAUCCAUCCAUCAUCCUUCCAUCCAUCUAGCCAUUCAUCCAUUCAUCCAUCCAUCCAUCCACCCACCUAUCUAUCCACCAUGCAUCCCUCAUCUAUCCAUCCAUCCAGUCAUCUACUCAUCUAUACACUUUCCAGCCAGGCAGCCAUCAUCCAUCCCUCCUCCCACUAUCCAUUCAAAAUCCUGUCAUUUAUCCCCCAUCCAUGCAACAUCUGUCCAUCCUUCCAUACAUUGAUCUAUCUAUCCAUCUACUCAUCUAUCCACUAUCCAUCCAUCACCCACCUAACCACCAUCCAUCCAUCCACCCACCAUCCAUCCACCAUCCUUCCAUCCUUUCACCAUACAUUCACUACCUACUAUCAAUCCAUCCACCUACUAUCCACCCAACAUCCUUCAGUCCUUCCAUCAACCAUCCACUAUCCAUUCAUCCACCCACCCACCCACUAUCCAUUUAUUCACCAUCUAUCUAUCCAUUUACUAGGUAAUUUGGGAACAUAGGAUAAAAAUUAUUAUGACUGUGUUGCCGGACCUUCCUCUGCCCUGACACUGUUGAGGGCCCCAGAUCCUCUAAACCAUUACCAUUGUCAAGCUCUGUCCCCUGAAAUCAAGUGCAGUUUUGUUCCGAUGAUGAGCACACAUAUUCAUGCUAUUCCCAAGAUCUUGGACAUGGCCACCCACCAGGAUCUGCUUUCCCAGCACCAGCUCCUACCUCAUCCCUGUGUCUUCUGCGGCUCACGUUCCUUGAGAGGCUGAGGUUAAAUCUCAGGACUGAAUGAAACAAUCCUUUCAUGGGUGAGGGAGAGGGAAGAUCCAGACAUGGGCAUAUACCAGAGAAAAGGCAAAGAGAGGGGACCACUUGUCUCCUCAGGCCCAGGUGGACAAGAGUUAGGCUGGAAAGCUGACAAUCACCCAGAGAGGAAAGGUGGACAUGGGGAGACAAAUGGGCAGAGAGGGGGAAGAAACGCUGGACUCUUUAGUGGGAGGUCAGGUGUUAGGGAGGCCUGGAGCCCAGGGCCGAGUGUCAGGGCAGUCCAGGUCACAAAAAUACCAAGAAGAGGCACAGAGGGGAGGUGAGGCUGUGAUGGUCUCCGUGUAGGGACUGGGAACUUGGUGUCAUCUAGAUAUUUGCAGACCUCAAAUAUUGUUUCAACAGCACUAUGGAUUUUGGAAAUUUAUAACAUGUUUGAUAAUAACGUGUUUGACUUUUAAUAUUGACCACAGUGUAGUACCUUGCAAAAUAUAAACACAUAAUAGGGACAACAUUCUUCACAUUAAUAGGUAGACUUAGAAUAUGCAAAGUUCCUUCCAAACCAUGACUUUGCUGAAGAAACUCCAUCUUAGAAAGGCUACCUGACUUGCCCAUAAUUUCACCAGAAGUAAGGGGUUGGCAGGGACCUAUGGUGGAUGAAAAUCUGUCCAAGGCCUCACUGAACUCCCCACUCACGCAGUGGUCAGGAAGAUGCUCUGCUCUCCCUGGGAGACAUCACCAAAGACACGAGAGGAAACUCUGGCCCAAGCUCACCUGAUGCUCAGAAUAACAGAAUUGAGACUCUAAGCCAGUGAAAGUGGCUGACCUGGGACCUGUACAGGCCAACUGCUCAUCCCUACUGAUAUUCUCACCUCACCUUUUCAGUGUGGGUGGGAAUAAACUGGGUCCCCUCUUCUCAUAGCCAGAGAGCAGACUUAGCCAUGCUUUCAGGAGGGAGGGCUGUAUGGCCCAGUGGGAGGCCCUCUAUCUGUUCCCUGCUCACCUGGCCUGCCAGCUGCCCUUUUAUCCUCUGGCUUAGGCUGACCUGCAGACAGGAUCCUGCCGCUCCCUCACCUUCAUAAAGGCCCUUCAAGUUUGCCAUGUAGGUGGUGAUUAUAUUGUUUGGAUCCUGUGAAUGGAUGUUCUUAAACUUUUGUAAUUAGCCAUCA